AAGCUCGAUUGAUGCGCCUGACGGAGAGAGGCGGCUAUCCCUCUGAAAGGAGCUCGAAUGUUGCUGGCGGGCCGUCUACCGUUUGGUGCCUUGAGCAUUAGUACAAUAGGCGAGGGCCAUUUGCUGUAGGAGCCCAGUUAGAGACUUUUUGUAGAUGAAGUUCAGUUUCCGUAGGAGUCCAGACGAAGGCUUCCUGCAGCCGGAGUCAGGGACGAAGUCCGACUCCCGUAGGAGUCCGGACGAAGUCUUCCUGUAGUCAA
rnacentral:lncRNA from 1 species